UACGGAGGGGGCUAGCGUUGUUCGGAAUUACUGGGCGUAAAGCGCGCGUAGGCGGACCUGCAAGUCGGGGGUGAAAGCCCGAGGCUCAACCUCGGAACUGCCUUCGAUACUGCGGGUCUCGAGUCCGGGAGAGGUGAGUGGAAUUCCUAGUGUAGAGGUGAAAUUCGUAGAUAUUAGGAAGAACACCAGUGGGCGAAGGCGGCUCACUGGCCCGGUACUGACGCUGAGGCGCGAAAGCGUGGGGAGCAAACAGG
rnacentral:rRNA from 1 species